rnacentral:rRNA from 1 species
CGCGGUAAUACGUAGGGUGCAAGCGUUAAUCGGAAUUACUGGGCNUAAAGCGUGCGCAGGCGGCCUGAUAAGUCAKAUGUGAAAUCCCCGMGCUCAACUUGGGAACUGCGUUUGAAACUAUCAAGCUAGAAUAUGUCARAGGGGGGUAGAAUUCCACGUGUAGCAGKGAAAUGCGUAGAGAUGUGGAGGAAUACCAAUGGCGAAGGCAGCCCCCUGGGAUAAUAUUGACCGCUCAUGCACAAAAGCGUGGGGAGCAAACAGGAUUAGAUCCCCUGGUAGUCC